rnacentral:rRNA from 1 species
UGGGGAAUCUUCCGCAAUGGACGAAAGUCUGACGGAGCAACGCCGCGUGAGUGAUGACGGCCUUCGGGUUGUAAAGCUCUGUUAAUCGGGACGAAUGGUUCUUGUGCAAAUAGUGCGAGGAUUUGACGGUACCGGAAUAGAAAGCCACGGCUAACUACGUGCCAGCAGCCGCGGUAAUACGUAGGUGGCAAGCGUUGUCCGGAAUUAUUGGGCGUAAAGCGCGCGCAGGCGGAUUGGUCAGUCUGUCUUAAAAGUUCGGGGCUUAACCCCGUGAUGGGAUGGAAACUGCCAAUCUAGAGUAUCGGAGAGGAAAGUGGAAUUCCUAGUGUAGCGGUGAAAUGCGUAGAUCUUAGGAAGAACACCAGUGGCGAAGGCGACUUUCUGGACGAAAACUGACGCUGAGGCGCGAAAGCCAGGGGAGCGAACGGGAUUAGAUACCCCGGUAGUCCUGGCCGUAAACUAUCAAGUACUAGGUGUAGGAGGUAUCGACCCCUUCUGUGCCGGAGUUAACGCAAUAAGUACCCCGCCUGGGGAGUACGACCGCAAGGUUGA